rnacentral:lncRNA from 1 species
AUGAACCAUCGAACAAACCUCAAUCAUUUAAAUAAUAAGUGGCUGCGAAGGACAACAGAAACAAACAAUAUCAUCGUUCAAAGGUGAUACAUGUGUUGACGAUUUUAUAAAUAUGCACCAACCGUAAUGCACCCUCUCUCGCAGGGCAAUGCCAUUGUUUCGUUGACGUGAGUCAGAUCGAGUGUUUAAUAACUUAUAUUUUGGUGUCCACUGCAAAAGAAAAAGGGGUAAUAUUUUAUAGGAUGUGGU